CUGAAUCGCGUCCCCCGCGGGGGUCUCAUGGGCGGGACCUCAGUGACUAGGCGGUAACAGACAAUGCCGUGCCAGGAACAGAGAGGCGGACUCCAGGGCCGCCGACUCCCCAGCCCAGCCGGACGCCGCAGGCUCUUAACCAGCCCGAGUCCGCCGCCCUCUGUGCGCCUAGAGGCCCAGGGGCCGCGCCUCCCGCCCCUGGCACCGCCCUGCUCCGCCCCUCCGUGCACCAGGCUGAGGGCUAGGGGCGGACCGUGGACAGGCUGGUCGGUGUCUGUGUCCCCGCAGGCUGGUCGGUGUCUGUGUCCCCGCAGCAUGCGCGGGCGGGGGCUGGUGUACCGGUUGGACGGGCCGUAGGGCGCGGUGGCCCCGGGGGUCGCGCUGAGCCUGGGCUACACCCGGAUCCGGGCAGAAUGGGGUCCCCAGGAUUGAGUUCGCGCCCGACCGCGCCGUCUCCCGGACCAGCGUGUCCGCUGCGGGGUUGGCUAGCACUGCGGUCGGGCUCAAAACCUCUUCUGGACACAGAACAAGGAGCCGCCAAGCGACCCUGGCAAGAGGCAGGGCCACUCUUGCUGCCCUGUGGCUUCCGGGAUUGCUCCUUCCCGUGUUACCUUGAGGACCCUACUGCUCUUCCUAGGCGCCCCCACAAGCUGACUGCACCUCGCAGUGUGCCAGGGACUCCGAAUCUGCUGCUCGCGCUCUUGCUCUCAGAGCCCUGACCAACCAGCUGCCACCUGGACACUCCACUUCCACGGCCCUCGGGCAGUUCAAACACGGCCAGACUAAGACAGGGACCCUGGGUGUAGUCAGAGUAGGGUGAGGGCCUCCGGGAAGAGCAGGGCGGAAUAUUUAUGGCCAGAGCAAUGUAACAAUGGGCAAAGAAGUCCCUACUGAAACUCUAUGUUAACCAUUAAGCUCUAGAAUCAUUCUUCGGUGACAUCAGUUAAUGUUCCCCAGAUGGGGAAGAGUGGCACGUGUCAGUUACACUAACCAUUUGUAACCAUGUGUAAGAUUCACUUUAGCAUGCUAAAAGUCCCAAGCCUAUGUGCUAUCUUUCCUCCUUCAGAUCUGACGAUAUGAUUUUGCAAACUGAGCAACUAACUUAGCAUGCAGACCCAGCUGUAGAGGACAUGGUGAAAGGCAGGAAGAGUUCCAUCUUAAAGAUAAGAUUCCAUUUUAACACACAGGAAUUUCAAGAGGCAGGAUUCUUUAGCAAAUAGACAAUAUCUCAGCCCACCUUGGGGGCUGAGCAGGCAGCAUUUUGAUGUGCUCCCGGACCCAGGCGCUGUGUCCCAGGGAGAAGUCAAGGCAGGAAAUUCCUUAUGUUAAGUUAAUUUUUAAUAUUCAGGGACCACUAACAAGUCCACACCACUAAGUUUUUUUCAUGUUCUUGAAAAAUCCUCAACUGCAUAUAAAACCCCUAGACAAUGCACCACCACCGACUCUCUUGUCCAAUCCGGGCGUGAGCUGGGAGCUCCGUUCUUUCAC